GAAAGAGUAUUCAUAAAUAAUGAAAAGAUUCUUCGUCUGUUGUAACAAGUAUGACGACUUCCAGUGAAAGGAUGAAAAUCUGGCCCAAGCUGAGUCCAUUGCAAAAUUCCCAUUGGCCUCAAACGGGCUGGAGUUUCACCUGAGUAACAAAAGUGAUGAGAAGAUGAGGAUUGACAUACUGUUUUGGAAAGAUUGCAAGCUUUUUGGAGCAAAAAGAAAACACAGGAAUAAAAUUCUCUUCUUUGCCCUGCUUUUGGCUGAGGCCUCAAGAUACCACUGUAAUAAAAUCCAGUGGUUUGAUGCAAAGUGCCACUGAAGAAGAGCAGUUUCCGCUGGAUCUGCGUGCUGCAUUAAUGCUCGUGUUGAUUGAGAACCACAACCUCAGCCACUCAACUCUGGGGAACUGGCUGGUUUAAUGUUUAUGUGCUCUUGAGAUGUGAAGCAUUCUCUUCUGCUCUGAACCUGGAACUCCCCUUCUUUGAACUUGAUGCGCUUCUGGAUGUGUGAAUGAAGAUUGCUGCCCUGGAGCGGAUAAAUAUUUUUCCAUCUGUGUUUUUUUUCUGUAAGAGUA